rnacentral:rRNA from 1 species
UACGAAGGAUGCGAGCGUUAUCCGGAUUUAUUGGGUUUAAAGGGAGCGUAGGCGGUCUUAUAAGUCAGUGGUGAAAUCCUAUCGCUUAACGAUAGACGUGCCAUUGAUACUGUAGGACUUGAGUACAGAUGCCGUUGGCGGAAUGUGUCAUGUAGCGGUGAAAUGCAUAGAUAUGACACAGAACACCGAUUGCGAAGGCAGCUGACGAA